UUCAGGUGCACACCCAUUUAUUCGGAAAAAUUAUUACGAGACCCAUAUUUUUCUUAAUUAGAAAUGGAGAAAGAGGCGAGACAACAGAAGAAGAAGCUGUUUAUUUUGUUCUCUCCAAGUUCUAUCAAUUUCUACUCUUGAUUCUUAUCAACUCUUGUUUAUUUUGUUCUCUCCAAGUUCGAUUUUGUUUUUAGAUUUUCGUUUUGAAUCGGAAUUUUCGAUUAGGCUUUAGAUCUCAAUUUUCGAUUGGAGUGUAAUUCCAUUGCAAAUGAUUUCUAAAAGACGGUUCUGGUGGAUAAAUCAAACGAUUUUAGAAUGGGUUUGUAGUUAUGACUGAUUAGAAACAGAUGAAGAAGAAAUUGGGUUUUCUGCCAUAAAGAAUCAGGGAAGAUUAGGGUUUUCGCUGAUGUUCAUGGGAAUGAUGGGGGUUUGUUGUUGAAAUGAAGAGAUGAUGCUGUUGGAAUCGAAGGUGUGGCAACUGUUGAUGAACCGAGAUGAAUUCAGUGGAAGAAUGGGUUUUGGAAUGAUAUUUCGGUGAUACUGUGAUUGGGAUGGUACUGCAAUGAGCCAGAUGCUUGCUGCCGAGCAUUGGAGGAUUUACUUUGCUUAAUAAUAAAGCCUGGAUGACACAAUGGGAAGCCAAUCUUCCUUCACGGAGUAAAGGACGGGUAAGUGAAACUGAGGUUAAGAGCAGCAGUUAACUGCAAUUGGGCGACAAUGAAUUUCUUAUAAGGCCUUUGCAGCAGUCAGUGGUGGUGAACUGGUGAUUAGAGACGUAAACUAAGAAGCUAGAACUGGAGUUUGUUGUGAACGGAAAGUGGGUCUGAAAUGGUUGUGGGACGCUGGUGAUGUUGUAAAGGAAUGAACGGGGUAUCCUGAACUGGGGUUAAGAGCAGAAGUUAACUGCAGUUGGGCUUAAUUGGACAUUUUAAGAGACUAGACUUGAUUGAGAUGAUGUGCCUGCGAAGAAAAGAUGGAGAAUGUGGAAAUAGUCGAGAAUUGAUGGCUGUCGUUGUGGGUACUUUGCUGGAAUCGGUUUGUUGACGGGUAAGCACCGGAACUGUAAAGUGAAACUGGUGGUGUCAUCUCAUUUAGAGUGCAGGAGACUGUGGAGAAUUAUUGGCUCGAGUUGAUAAUAACUUCAGGUGGUAUUUAGCUUGAAUCUGUAGCUGACGAGAAUGUUGCAGUCAAAGUUAGCCGUGAACUGGCUAAUUGUAUAUAGAUUUUGAGGGUUCUUAUAUAGUUCGAGAUUAGGUUUUAAUGACAUUUCUCAAUUUUAAUAUAUAUAUCAACACAUCUCUGGUAGGGAGGCUA